rnacentral:rRNA from 1 species
UGGGGAAUAUUGGACAAUGGGCGAAAGCCUGAUCCAGCAAUGCCGCGUGAGUGAUGAAGGCCUUAGGGUUGUAAAGCUCUUUUACCCGGGAUGAUAAUGACAGUACCGGGAGAAUAAGCUCCGGCUAACUCCGUGCCAGCAGCCGCGGUAAUACGGAGGGAGCUAGCGUUGUUCGGAAUUACUGGGCGUAAAGCGCGCGUAGGCGGUUUUUCAAGUCAGAGGUGAAAGCCCGGGGCUCAACCCCGGAAUAGCCUUUGAAACUGGAAGACUUGAAUCUUGGAGAGGCCAGUGGAAUUCCGAGUGUAGAGGUGAAAUUCGUAGAUAUUCGGAAGAACACCAGUGGCGAAGGCGACUGACUGGACAAGUAUUGACGCUGAGGUGCGAAAGCGUGGGGAGCAA